UACGAGCGGCCCAAACGUUAUUCGGAAUUACUGGGCUUAAAGAGUUCGUAGGCGGUAUGAAAAGUAGGGUGUGAAAGCCCUCGGCUCAACCGAGGAAUUGCGCUCUAAACUGUCGUACUCGAGGAACCUAGAGGUGAGCAGAACAGAUGGUGGAGCGGUGAAAUGCGUUGACAUCAUCUGGAAUACCGGAGGCGAAGGCGGCCUCCUGGGCCAACACUGACGCUCAUGCACGAAAGCGUGGGGAGCAAACAGG
rnacentral:rRNA from 1 species